rnacentral:rRNA from 1 species
CCAAUAACGUAUAUUAAAGUUGUUGCAGUUAAAAAGCUCGUAGUUGAAUUUCGGGAUCAGUACGUUGGUCAUGCCUUGGUAUGUACUGGUGUAACUGAUUCCUCCCUUCUGACGAACCGUCAUGCCAUUAAUUUGGUGUGGCGGGAAAUCAGGACUGUUACUUUGAAAAAAUUAGAGUGUUUAAAGCAGGCUCGCGCUUGAAUACAUUAGCAUGGAAUAAUGAAAUAGGACGUUAAUCCUAUUUUGUUGGUUUCUAGGAUCGACGUAAUGAUUAAUAGGGAUAGUUGGGGGCAUUAGUAUUCAAUUGUCAGAGGUGAAAUUCUUGGAUUUAUUGAAGACUAACUACUGCGAAAGCAUUUGCCAAGGAUGUUUUCAUUAAUCAAGAACGAAAGUUAGGGGAUCGAAGACGAUCAGAUACCGUCGUAGUCUUAACCAUAAACUAUGCCGACUAGGGAUCGGAUGAUGUUAAUUUUUUAAUGACUCAUUCGGCGCCUUACG